rnacentral:lncRNA from 1 species
AAUCAAAUGCAGCCACAGCUAUUUACUAAGUGUGACAUUGACUUACAGUGUCCAGUGGAAAAAUUCUUGUUUCUCUAGCAUCAUCCUACCCUUUCCUCCCUAAAGAAGGCUGCAGUCCUGAUAUGCUCCCAUUCAGGGUCCCUCCACUGAUGGAGUGUCUCCGAGGAGAGAAAGAAGGUUUAUCUAAGUGUCACCCCCUUCAAAGCUGAAAAGUACACAGGAACAUCAUCAACGGUGUUUAGUACUUCUCAUGUGGCCCCAUGAUCAUCAUGUUUGAGAUACUUCUGCAAGAAGCUCCAAACAGUGAACUACUGAGAGAACACUUGUGGGAAUAUUUGCAGAGACAAACAAAUGCCAUCUUAAAAUACCAGCUACUGUAACUUACCUACAACAAGUAGGCUUCUUGGUCUGUAUUAACCCUGUAGGUACUAUUGUUGAAAUAGGCAUCUCCCCUACUCAGGAAUGUG